rnacentral:piRNA from 1 species
UAUAGAAAACAACGCAGAUGUUCUGUCAAG